UCGAACGGUGAAGCAGAGCUUGCUCUGUGGAUCAGUGGCGAACGGGUGAGUAACACGUGAGCAACCUGCCCUGGACUCUGGGAUAAGCGCUGGAAACGGCGUCUAAUACUGGAUACGAGACAUGAUCGCAUGGUCAAUGUUUGGAAAGAUUUUUCGGUCUGGGAUGGGCUCGCGGCCUAUCAGCUUGUUGGUGAGGUAAUGGCUCACCAAGGCGUCGACGGGUAGCCGGCCUGAGAGGGUGACCGGCCACACUGGGACUGAGACACGGCCCAGACUCCUACGGGAGGCAGCAGUGGGGAAUAUUGCACAAUGGGCGGAAGCCUGAUGCAGCAACGCCGCGUGAGGGAUGACGGCCUUCGGGUUGUAAACCUCUUUUAGCAGGGAAGAAGCGAAAGUGACGGUACCUGCAGAAAAAGCGCCGGCUAACUACGUGCCAGCAGCCGCGGUAAUACGUAGGGCGCAAGCGUUAUCCGGAAUUAUUGGGCGUAAAGAGCUCGUAGGCGGUUUGUCGCGUCUGCUGUGAAAUCCCGAGGCUCAACCUCGGGCCUGCAGUGGGUACGGGCAGACUAGAGUGCGGUAGGGGAGAUUGGAAUUCCUGGUGUAGCGGUGGAAUGCGCAGAUAUCAGGAGGAACACCGAUGGCGAAGGCAGAUCUCUGGGCCGUAACUGACGCUGAGGAGCGAAAGGGUGGGGAGCAAACAGGCUUAGAUACCCUGGUAGUCCACCCCGUAAACGUUGGGAACUAGUUGUGGGGACCAUUCCACGGUUUCCGUGACGCAGCUAACGCAUUAAGUUCCCCGCCUGGGGAGUACGGCCGCAAGGCUAAAACUCAAAGGAAUUGACGGGGACCCGCACAAGCGGCGGAGCAUGCGGAUUAAUUCGAUGCAACGCGAAGAACCUUACCAAGGCUUGACAUAUACGAGAACGGGCCAGAAAUGGUCAACUCUUUGGACACUCGUAAACAGGUGGUGCAUGGUUGUCGUCAGCUCGUGUCGUGAGAUGUUGGGUUAAGUCCCGCAACGAGCGCAACCCUCGUUCUAUGUUGCCAGCACGUAAUGGUGGGAACUCAUGGGAUACUGCCGGGGUCAACUCGGAGGAAGGUGGGGAUGACGUCAAAUCAUCAUGCCCCUUAUGUCUUGGGCUUCACGCAUGCUACAAUGGCCGGUACAAAGGGCUGCAAUACCGCGAGGUGGAGCGAAUCCCAAAAAGCCGGUCCCAGUUCGGAUUGAGGUCUGCAACUCGACCUCAUGAAGUCGGAGUCGCUAGUAAUCGCAGAUCAGCAACGCUGCGGUGAAUACGUUCCCGGGUCUUGUACACACCGCCCGUCAAGUCAUGAAAGUCGGUAACACCUGAAGCCGGUGGCCCAACCCUUGU
rnacentral:rRNA from 1 species